UACGUAGGUGGCAAGCGUUGUCCGGAUUUAUUGGGUUUAAAGGGUGCGUAGGCGGUCCCAUAAGUCAGUGGUGAAAUACUCUAGCUUAACUAGAGGGGUGCCAUUGAUACUGUGGGACUUGAGUAGAGUUGAAGUGGGCGGAAAUUGACGGUGUAGCGGUGAAAUGCUUAGAUAUCGUCAAGAACACCGAUAGUGAAGACAGCUCACUAAGCUCAAACUGACGCUGAGGCACGAAAGUGUGGGGAUCAAACAGGA
rnacentral:rRNA from 1 species